rnacentral:tRNA from 1 species
GCUGGAGUGGCGGAAUUGGCAGACGCACGGGACUCAAAAUCCCGCGCCCCCUCGGCGGGGCAUGUGGGUUCGACUCCCACCUCCAGCACCA